GGUCUUAAAAAAAGGCAAAAAAUGCGCAAUCGGCAGCACUGGAUGGAAGAGAGCAAUACUGACUAUGUUUCGGGGAUAAAUGUAGAUUUUUGGUCGCAGCAGCAAUUCAGAACGUUCCCCCUAGAUUUUUUCUUGAUCUAGAGUGCCUGGGGAUUAAAUGUCAAAGUUAACAAUCUUUUGUGAUCGGACUUUCGUCAUUAUUAUCGUCAGACUUUUGUGUACAGUACGGGUCUAAGAAAAAAGUAUUCGUCCAAUAUUUUACUCAAAUCUGCGUAAGUGAGCGAAGCGAGUUCGCCGGCAAUUGAAGUACGAGAAAAGUGGUUGUGCAAGGUGAACACGAUUGGACCUAAGGAUCGAUCAUGUAGAUCAAUUAAUCAAGAAUCUACAUGCAAACAAAAUUUCGCGGUUGUACAUGGGGUAUAAGAAAAUUCAUAUUCAGAUGAAAAAA
rnacentral:sRNA from 1 species